GGGCAGAUCAGCUAACGCAUCCGAUAAUCCGUUGAACAGGAUAGCUCACACAAUUGGCCCUUGAAGUCCAGGUCUAUGGUGAAGUCCAGAUCUCGCUGCACAUGAGACAGAAAAGGGAAAGAUAUGAAACUGCAAGGAGUGGGAAGAGACAAGCACUAUUGCCAGAGAUAAGAAGUGGUCAAUGGUACGCCUUUUGAAAGGAGAAACAGAACCUUCCCCAUCAUAGAGCAAAACAACCUCAUUGAAGAUUUCAUGACUGAAGGAUACAGAUCCCAGACCACUCUGACGAUUAUCCUCUAGACCUCAUCAAACCCAUUACCCAGGGUGGAGAAAAUGAGCCCAACAUCAGGCUCCUUGAGGCUCAUUUUAGGAUCUGAAAAUCCAUAGACUCCUGUUUUUAAAAUAUUAUUUUCAGCCAAAAAAACAAAACAAAACAA